rnacentral:rRNA from 1 species
GACAGAGGGGGCAAGCGUUGCUCGGAAUCACUGGGCGUAAAGGGCGCGUAGGCGGGAUGGCAAGUCAGUCGUGAAAUCUCUCGGCUCAACCGAGAAACGUCGGCUGAUACUGGCCGUUCUUGAGGGAUGCAGAGGAGACUGGAAUUCCCGGUGUAGCGGUGAAAUGUGUAGAGAUCGGGAGGAACACCGGUGGCGAAGGCGGGUCUCUGGGCAUCUCCUGACGCUGAGGCGCG